AAUUGGAAAAACAGAAUAAUCCUUUUAAUUUAAAUAGAAGAUAUCAAGGAAUCUUGUUUGGAAGACACAUCGUGAAAAAUUAAUAGGGAUGAUCAAAAUUUCCUUUUGAAACAAUGUACCAAAUAUUGUAAAUAUCAAAUAGAGUUUCCAAGUAUGACAUAUGUACAAUGUAUUACGCGAUAAACAUGUUACCUUACUUAACGGAAUCUCAUGUAAAUAUUCUGUUUAGCUAUUGCGAUAUUCAUUGUUUGGACACGGUGCAUACAGUCCUGAAAAUGUUGUUUAGCUCUUUACUAUCGUAAAUACGGUUGAAGAGCACAUUGUCAGCUUCGUUUCACGUGUCGAAAUCUCUAGAAGUUAUACAAUGGAUAAUCAAAGUGAUAUCAAGAAAUCAAGACAAUUUGAAAAGAAAAAUCUCGUUCUUACGAUUCAAGUUAUUAUCUCGAUAAUAAUUAUGAGCAAAAAAAUUAGGAAAAGAUAUUUCUUAAUGACUAUGAAAAUUUGUGAAUAUUUCGUGUUGACACGAGAAUUUCUCAAACAAUUUGAUUUGAUUAAUGACACGAUUAAUAAACUGUUACUCUGUUGUCUUCAUCAGCAAGUCAUCUUUAAGAUUUGCAAUCCUGAUUGUCCAAAAUAAGAUACGCAUAAAUUACAAUUAUUACAAUAUAUAUCACAAGAGGAAUCGUAAGAAAUGAAAAUAGAUCGAGAUACAAAGAGAUGGAAGCAAUUAGGUUAUAAUCGAAAUGUUAAAUCAUUAAAGAGAACAUUAUAGAAGCAGUUUAGAUCUUGGCCUUCAAAAGUUAUUUGUAAGAUUGCAUAAAGUGCAUUUGACAUCGUGUGAUCUGAAUUUCGAGUAAACUUUGUAGAUAACUCUAAAGCACACACAUUUAAAUCACAUUUUCUUGAAACUCUUGAAAUUGUAAAAUUUAGUUACGCGUCUAUUGGAAUCUCACAUAAUUAUAAAAUACAAAUGUAUUCUUACAGUAAUUACACAAGGAUUUUAAUGAGCAUUCUAAAUGAUCAUCUUACGUUUAAUAUCUUCAAUUGGAAAAUAUUUCUUAAACAUUGAACGUAUAAAUAAAUGAAUUUAUUAUCGAUAAAAAUUCAUUCAUUUUCUAUAU